rnacentral:rRNA from 1 species
UUAGUCAAUGCUCGCAAGAGUGAACUAGCUAACUGAAAUCACAAGAACCGCUACGUGUGGUGAAUGUAAUAACGUAAGGGAAAAAAAUGAUAUUACCUUACUAUUAGUGUUGUCCAAAACUGGUGCCAGAAGACUCGGUAAGGCCAGAGACGCAAACGUUAGUCGUCCUAAUCAGGCGUAAAGGGUAUGUAGGCUGUUUUAAAAAUUUUAUAUUAAUAGCUAAUGUUUUAAAAUAUAAUAUAAAAAAAUAAUUUAAACAUAAAAAAUAUAAGAUGAAUUAAAGCUAGAAUCAAAUGGAGGAUAAGUCAAAUAAUACCUAGUGUAGGGUUUAAAUCUGUUGAUGUUAGGUAGAGUACUAACGGUGAAAGCUUUUUAUCUAUAAAUGAUUGACGCUGAGAAACGAAGGUGAGAAUAGGAAAUAGGAUUAGAUACCCAGAUACCUCUCACAGUCAACGAUGAAUGGUGGUUGUUAGUUAGUUUUAUUUAACUGAUAACGAUGUUAACACGAUAACCAUUCCGCCUUGCGAGUACGGUUGCAAAACUGAAACCAAAAAAAUUAGUCGGUCUCGAAGCAAACGAAGUGAAGCAUGUUAUUU